CGGAAUUANCCGGGGCUUCUUCUCCCGCUACCGUCAUCAUCCUCACGGGUGAAAGAGCUUUACAACCCUAAGGCCUUUUUCACUCACGCGGCAUUGCUGGAUCAGGCUUUCGCCCAUUGUCCAAUAUUCCCCA
rnacentral:rRNA from 1 species